GACGAACGCUGGCGGCGUGCUUAACACAUGCAAGUCGAACGGAAAGGCCUGCUUUCCCUUGUGGUUUGCGGGUACUCGAGUGGCGAACGGGUGAGUAACACGUGAGUGAUCUGCCCCCAACUUGGGUAUAAGCCUGGGAAACUGGGUCUAAUUCCCGAUAGGACUGCAGGGUGGUGCCUGUGGUGGAAAACGAUUUUCUAGUGGUUGGGGAUGAGCUCGCGGCCUAUCAGCUUGUUGGUGGGGUAAUGGCCUACCAAGGCGGCGACGGGUAGCCGGCCUGAGAGGGUGGACGGCCACAUUGGGACUGAGAUACGGCCCAGACUCCUACGGGAGGCAGCAGUGGGGAAUAUUGCACAAUGGGCGGAAGCCUGAUGCAGCGACGCCGCGUGGGGGAUGACGGCCUUCGGGUUGUAAACUCCUUUCGACCGCGAGGAAGCCACCUGGUUGGAAGGGUGGUGACGGUAGUGGUAGAAGAGGCACCGGCUAACUACGUG
rnacentral:rRNA from 1 species